UUUCUUUCCUAUAUAUUUUCACUUGCAUGGAACACCGUUUAUUUUGCCGAAGCAAUAAUGCUUCUUGCUAGGUUUUCUGCAAGGGAAAACAAACAAACAUUAUAUGGGAUCAUGGAAACCUUUGAGGAUGUUUCCUCGCCUAUAUUUUCAGAGAAUGCAUGCAACAUGUCUGCUGACUGCUGAGCAUUGAGCAUGACUAUAUGGCAUACUCACCUUUAGCUCCUCCAACUCAUGGUACUCAAGCUUUUUAAGCAGACUUUUAUGGAGUGUCCAGACCCAGGAAAUCUGGGAUUUAGCUGUAAAGGCCAAGUCUUUCUUUGUCAAAAUUUCUUGUUUUAAGCCUGUUUCAGGCCUCCUCCAUGUAACCAAAAAAGAAUAAAAAAUUAAAAAAUUGUAUGCAGGAAACUAAAAGACUUUUACUGGCUGGUGUA